GACGAACGCUGGCGGCGUGCUUAACACAUGCCAGUCGAACGGAAAGGCCCUGCUUGCAGGGUACUCGAGUGGCGAACGGGUGAGUAACACGUGGGUGAUCUGCCCUGCACUUCGGGAUAAGCCUGGGAAACUGGGUCUAAUACCGGAUAGGAGCCAUUUUUAGUGUGAUGGUUGGAAAGUUUUUUCGGUGUAGGAUGAGCUCGCGGCCUAUCAGCUUGUUGGUGGGGUAAUGGCCUAUCAAGGCGGCGACGGGUAGCCGGCCUGAGAGGGUGGACGGCCACAGUGGGACUGAGAGACGGCCCAGACUCCUACGGGAGGCAGCAGUGGGGAAUAUUGCACAAUGGGCGCAAGCCUGAUGCAGCGACGCCGCGUGGGGGAUGACGGCCUUCGGGUUGUAAACUCCUUUCGCUAGGGACGAAGCUUUUUGUGACGGUACCUAGAUAAGAAGCACCGGCUAACUACGUG
rnacentral:rRNA from 1 species